AACGCACAUUGCGCCCUCUGGUAUUCCGGGGGGCAUGCCUGUUCGAGCGUCAUUACAACCCUCAAGCUCUGCUUGGUAUUGGGCACCGCCUCCCCCACGGGGCGGCGUGCCUCAAAGUCAGUGGCGGCGCCUUCCGGCUCCAAGCGCAGUAAUUAUUUCUCGCUCUGGUGCUCCGGUCUGCUCCUGCCAGCAACCCAAACUUUUUUUAAUGGUUGACCUCGGAUCAGGUAGGGAUACCCGCUGAACUUAA
rnacentral:misc_RNA from 1 species